AGCCACGUAAUGAGCACAUAGCGAACUAUUCUUUCACCUUUUACUAAAGAAUACCGUGUGCUCAUUGCUUCAAAUGGCAUGCGCCUAUUUUUGAAGAGUCCUAGUUCAGUUUGAUUU